CGCUGGCGGCGUGCCUAAUACAUGCAAGUCGAACGGUCUUUUCUAUGGAAGCUUGCUUCCACUGAGAAGAUAGUGGCGAACGGGUGAGUAACACGUGGGUAACCUGCCCAUAAGAGGGGGAUAACAUCCGGAAACGGGUGCUAAUACCGCAUAGUUUUCUUGAUCGCAUGAUUGAGAAAGGAAAGACGGCCUUUGUGCUGUCGCUUAUGGAUGGACCCGCGGCGUAUUAGUUAGUUGGUGAGGUAACGGCUCACCAAGACGAUGAUACGUAGCCGACCUGAGAGGGUGAUCGGCCACAUUGGGACUGAGACACGGCCCAAACUCCUACGGGAGGCAGCAGUAGGGAAUCUUCCGCAAUGGACGAAAGUCUGACGGAGCAACGCCGCGUGAGUGAAAGAAGGUUUUCGGAUCGUAAAACUCUGUUGUCAGAGAAGAACAAGUUGGAGAGUAACUGCUCCAGCCUUGACGGUAUCUGACCAGAAAGCCACGGCUAACUACGUGCCAGCCGCCGC
rnacentral:rRNA from 1 species